rnacentral:rRNA from 1 species
CAGUAGCCGCGGUAAUACAGAGGAUGCAAGCGUUAUCCGGAAUGAUUGGGCGUAAAGCGUCUGUAGGUGGCUUUUCAAGUCCGCCGUCAAAUCCCAGGGCUCAACCCUGGACAGGCGGUGGAAACUACCAAGCUAGAGUACGGUAGGGGCAGAGGGAAUUUCCGGUGGAGCGGUGAAAUGCGUUGAGAUCGAAAAGAACACCAACGACGAAAGCACUCUGCUGGGUCGACACUGACACUGAGAGACGAAAGCUAGGGGAGCAAAUGGGAUUAGAUACCCCCGUAGUCCCUGUCUCUUAUAC